CCGGAUGUUGACGUAUCCUCAUUGGGCAAUCUUGUGUAUUUAUGGAUGACCCCGACCGUUAUCAAAGCCUACAAAAAGAAAAUGACUCUUUACGACCUCUGGACACAGACAGAACGGUUGAAAUGUAGCAACACAGUGAGGGAACUUCAGGUAAC